rnacentral:misc_RNA from 1 species
UACAGGAGCUGCCGAUACAAAGGCCUGACCCAGAAGAAAUUCUGCGUCACCUGUACCAUCAAGAUCAAGAUCAAGAUCAACUGUGGGCUGCCGUUGCAAAGGCGAAAGCUCCGCACCUACACCUACUGUUUUGAGGCACUAGAGGCUGUGACACAUCCUGCACGGCCCCAACAAACCCCCCCUAAAAGAAGAAUCUAUGAACUGUUGGACAACUAGGAACAGUUCGUGGGCCCUAACAACAACAACAACAACAAGGAUUGCUAUGAUUGGAUGAAGAGAACGCUUUUAUAUUUUCUUUCAGAAGUUGAUUUUCGAGCAUUACCUACGAAUCAGUGCAAAGAGAAGAUACAGUUAACAAAACUUCAGAGAUUAAAAAAAGAGGAGGAAGUACUCAAAAAAGUUUUAAAGAAAUAUCAAGAUGGUCUACAUGCUCUUCAGAUAGAGGAACUGACCAUCAAGUAUGAGCUGGGCAAAAGGAGAACCCAUGACAAUGACACACUAAACAACAGUGUACCUCAAAGCAUUGCUGAUUUCAAAACCUUCAUCUCUGUGGACCCAAGCCAUUUAAAUGAAGUACCAGAUGGAGAUGGACAGUGUGUCAGCCAGAAAUCCCUGAAUCAGGAUGUCACUCCUUUAAAGUAAGAAGAGUUUUAAAGAAGGAACAUCAUAGGUUCAUCAUUUAAAUAAAUAGAUAAUGGGAAAAAACAUCAAGUAACUUUGACGACUAUCCCGCUUCACCAGAAUCACGAGGCACAAAUGCUGCAAAUCUAGCUCGCUGUACCUUACCAGACCCGCUCUAAUCGUGGAUAACGGUAAGACAGAAGUGGAAAUAAAAUAAGGCAGCCUGCUCCAAACACGGAUAACGGAAAAUCAAGACGAAUCAACGACACGUCUGCACCAUGCGCGAACAGCGAAGCAACUGCUGGAAAUUAUCUGCAAAGACCUGGAGUGGAGGCCAUGAUGUGUCUACACAUGAGUGACAAAAUGUGACUGUGACUGACUGACAAUUGUUUGUAUAGAGCACAAUCUUCUUGUGAUGAUCCUUAACAAUUCUAUUUACCACUUAUAUAACAUGUUAUUAGAAAUUUGAAGAUAUCAUCUCAUUUAAAAGUCUUUGUUCUACAAAAUGAGAUAGCAUAUUUUAGUAAUUAUUGUUAAGUUACUGCAAAUUGUUGCAAUAAACUAAAUGGGUUACAAACAAUUCAAACAUUAUUAUUUUCACAUUAACUCAUCAUAUUUCUGUUUAUUAUCUACUUGAAAUUAUUUUAAUAUGAUGUUUAGAUUCAGCAACCAUUCCUGAAUGUAACAAUAUGAAAUGAAAUGUAUCAAAUAAA